rnacentral:rRNA from 1 species
GUCUUUUAGAAAUUUAAUUUAAAGUCUAGCCUGCCCACUGAAUUUUUUUAAAUGGCCGCAGUAUCCUAACUGUGCAAAGGUAGCAUAAUCAUUAGUCUUUUAAUUGAAGGCUGGAAUGAAUGGUUGGAUGAAAUAUUAACUGUUUCAUAAAAAUUUAUAAUAGAAUUUUAUUUUUUAGUCAAAAAGCUAAAAUAUUCUUAAAAGACGAGAAGACCCUAUAAAUCUUUAUAUUUAGAAAAUUACAAUUAUUUAGACAACUUUAAUUUUACUUUUUUUAAAUAUUUUAUUGGGGUGAUAUUAAAAUUUAAUAAACUUUUAAUUUAUUUUAAACAUAAAUUAAUGAAUUAUUGAUCCAUAAAUUAUGAUUAAAAAAUUAAGUUACUUUAGGGAUAACAGCGUAAUUUUUUUAGAGAGUUCAUAUUGAUAAAAAAGAUUGCGACCUCGAUGUUGGAUUAAGAUACAGUUUUAGGUGCAGCAGCUUAAACUUAAAGUCUGUUCGACUUUUAAAUUCUUACAUGAUCUGAGUUCAA